rnacentral:rRNA from 1 species
UCAAGUGACUAAGUGCAUGUGGCGGAUGCCUUGGCGAUCACAGGCGAAGAAAGACGCGGCAGCCUGCGAAAAGCUGCGGGGAGCUGGCAAACGAGCUUUGAUCCGCAGAUAUCUGAAUGGGGGGACCCACACCGCAAGGUGUAUCCGUGACUGAAUACAUAGGUUACGGAGGCGAACGAGGAGAACUGAAACAUCUAAGUAUCCUCAGGAAAAGAAAUCAACCGAGAUUCCGGCAGUAGCGGCGAGCGAACCCGGAGGAGCCUAGCUUUUGAUAGUACGAACUUUAGCCGAAAGGUCCUGGAAAGGCCUGCUAUAGUGGGUGAUAGCCCCGUAGGCGAAAGAGUUGGUACGGUACUAAGGAAGCGAGAAGUAGAGCGGGACACGUGGAAUCCUGUUCGAAGACGGGGGGACCAUCCUCCAAGGCUAAAUACUCGUGAUCGACCGAUAGUGAACCAGUACCGUGAGGGAAAGGCGAAAAGAACCCCGGGAGGGGAGUGAAAUAGAACCUGAAACCGCAUGCAUACAAACAGUAGGAGCCUCAUCAGAGGUGACUGCGUACCUUUUGCAUAAUGGGUCAGCGACUUACAUUCUGUGGCGAGCUUAACCGAAUAGGGGAGGCGCAGCGAAAGCGAGUUCGAAAUGAGCGUUCAGUCGCAGGGUGUAGACCCGAAACCAGAUGAGCUAUCCAUGGCCAGGUUGAAGGUGUGGUAACACACACUGGAGGACCGAACCGACUAGUGUUGCAAAAUUAGCGGAUGAGCUGUGGAUAGGGGUGAAAGGCCAAACAAAUCUGGAGAUAGCUGGUUCUCCCCGAAAACUAUUGAGGUAGUGCCUCGUGUGUCGCUCCAGGGGGUAGAGCACUGUUUUGGCUAGGGGGACAUGGAGUCUUACCAAACCAAGGCAAACUCCGAAUACCUGGAAGCGUAAGCACGGGAGACAGAGCACCGGGUGCUAACGUCCGGACUCAAAAGGGAAACAACCCAGACCGCCGGCUAAGGUCCCCAAUAACAGCUAAGUGGAAAACGAAGUGGAAAGGCCGUGACAACCAGGAAGUUGGCUUAGAAGCAGCCAUCCUUCAAAGAAAGCGUAAUAGCUCACUGGUCGAGUCCUUCUGCGCGGAAGAUGUAACGGGGCUAAGCUGUUAACCGAAGCCGCGGAUGCACUGGUUAUCCAGUGCGUGGUAGGGGAGCGUUCUGUAAGUCUGCGAAGGCGGUUCGAGAGGACUGCUGGAGAUAUCAGAAGUGCGAAUGCUGACAUGAGUAACGUUAAAGCAGGUGAAAAGCCUGCUCGCCGUAAGCCCAAGGAUUCCUGCUCUACGUUCAUCGGAGCAGGGUGAGUCGGCUCCUAAGGUCAGGCCGAAAGGCGUAGCCGAUGGGAAUCAGGUUAAUAUUCCUGAACCUGCGUCAGAUGCGAUGGGGGGACGGAGCAUGGAAGAUCAUCCGGGUGUUGGAAGUCCCGGUUGUUGAGCGUAGGAGGUCUGCAGGCAAAUCCGCAGACGCAUCUCCAAGGCAAAGACACGUGCCGCUACGGCGGCGAAGUGAUCGGAAGUGCUUCCAAGAAAAGCCUCUAAGCACCAGUCUGACGCGGACCGUACCGCAAACCGACACUGGUGGGCGAGCUGAAUAUGCUCAGGCGCUUGAGAGAACUCGGGAGAAGGAACUCGGCAAAUUGACACCGUAACUUCGGAAGAAGGUGUGCCGUAGUACCGUGAGAGGAGAGACACCUUGAGCGGGAAACGGUCUCAGAGAAUAGGUGGUUGCGACUGUUUAUUAAAAACACAGCACUCUGCAAAGUCGAAAGACGACGUAUAGGGUGUGAUGCCUGCCCGGUGCUGGAAGAUUAAUUGAUGGGGUGAGAGCCCUUGAUCGAAGUCCCAGUAAACGGCGGCCGUAACUAUAACGGUCCUAAGGUAGCGAAAUUCCUUGUCGGGUAAGUUCCG